UGGCUUGCCUAACUGAAACUCACAGGUGCAGCAUUUAGCAUUUCCAAUUAGUGGAAAUCUGAAGCAGCAGGUGCCUUCUGAGAUAUUAAAAACCCUUGCAGUAGCAACCUACUAGGGGAAAGUCAAUGUAGGUAACUGCUUUACAGAGGGAGGAUGCAGAACUUCAGAAAGGAAAUCUCAACUGGUAACUUGCAAUAAGCCUUGUACUACUCUUAGGAGCUGAAGGCACCCAGGAAAACUUCUAGAAUUAUGGGAAUCACAGGAGAGACUUUCCAUAAAGGAAUUCCGUUUAAAAAUAACAGAUGGUAUAAAGAAGGUUAACAGGGAGAACAGAUGCUCCUGAUCUCAUAACUCAUGAAGAAGGGGACAUUCAAUGAAAUUAAAAGCUGUAGCUGCUGCUGUUUCUCCAUGGGCAUAUGCUUUUGUAAAGAGGGAAUAGUGUUGCAGUCAUUGGUCUUGAUUCGUCCCCAGGGCUACAAGAUGGUGUAAAAUGAAUCCCCCAGAUACCCAAAGACACAGCUGCACUAGCGAAAAGCAUUCACCCACAGGAGAGGGUAAAUGGUAAAUUUGCUGCAGCUGCCCUCUCCCAGGGGUUUUGCCUGGGGAGACCAACUUCAAAUUCUGGUUGGAGGUUGAUGGAGGCUUUUCUGGAGAUGUGCUAAUGACUAAAGGCUUGUCUUCACUGCAGAGUUAACUCAAGUUGUAACUAAAGUAUUGCCCCUAAUUCAGACACACAAAUCCCUAAAUCCAGUGUUGUGGUGUUUUUAAUUCAAGUUGGCUGGCCUGCUAAUGGGUAUAGACUAAAGCUUGAGUUAAUAAAACUCCUCAGGUGCUAACACAACUCUAUGCAGCUUCAGUGUUGCUUUGCGGUGUGGCUGCUCUUGUUCAAGCUAGGCUAAUUCAAAAGGUAUUAACCUGAAUGUAGAUAAACCAAAUUAACUCUGCAGUGAAGACAUGCUGUAAAUUACUAGAUCCCAGAUUUUUAAAUGUGUGUAUGCCUUUGGUUGACACUGAGUCGCAUGGGCAAAACACCUGAUGCACAUGUGCAAGUCAAAGAUUUGUGUACUUGCAUAUUUCUGUAUAUGCACAGCCCAACUGAAAUAUGCUUAUUGGGGAUUUUAUACACUCAUAACUUUAAAAUAUGCAUACAUUCCUGUUUAAAAAAAAAGUCUAAACCUCUGUUUUUCUCCAUAUUUAAAACGAAAGAAUACCUACCUAAUGCUAACAUUUAUUAAUGACUGUAAAGCAUGCAGAGAUCCUUUGAUGGAAAAUGCUAUAGAAUCACAAUAUAUAAUUAAUAUGAAGAAUUAAACUUGUUGAGAUUUGUCCAUCAGUGAUGUACCAUCUUUUCUGCUGUGGUUUUCUUCAGUCCCUAGAAUAAAUCUUAGUUAUGGAA